AUGGUGCUCCAGAACGACAUCGACCUACUCAACCCGCCGGCGGAGCUCGAGAAGCUCAAGCACAAGAAGAAGCGCCUCGUCCAGUCCCCCAAUUCCUUCUUCAUGGCUGCAGUCUUCCACUAUGGAUCAAUAAGCUUGAUUGCCGAGCCUUGCCGGACAGCGCAUCUGCACGCCAUGAAGGUUGCCAAAGAGGCCGGCGCGCUUCUCUCGUAUGACCCGAACCUGAGGGAGGCAUUGUGGCCAUCCCUUGACGAGGCUCGCACUAAGAUCUUGAGCAUCUGGGACCAGGUAGACAUUGCCAAGGUCAGCGAGGUCGAGCUCAAGGACACAACGGCAGCAGCAGCAGCAAGGUUCGCCCCGCCUCUCGAUUUCAUCUUCUUCCACUCCAUUGCCUGCUGA
rnacentral:rRNA from 1 species